GCCGGCGAUGCACGCGCGCACCUUCGGUCGCAGCCGUUAAUCAGGAGGUUAAUGCGCAUGGCCGCCAAAGAAUGAACGGCGGAACGAUGCCAUGUACAUUAAGUUUGUUUUAAUGUGUGCCCAAAAGGGGGAAAUACACAACGGGCAGUUGUUUCAUGGCGUACUCUCGAGUAAACACGGACACUGAAUGAAUACCUUGAGCCCGGUUUAGCAGGCAGCCCUCCACACGUUUCACUGUCAUCUCCAGCACUUCGGCAUUCUCCAUCUUUGAUUGCGACUGCAGCGGGUGAAAGAAAGCCGGUUUCCUCAUCUGCCAAAACAGUAACGACAAUGGAGUAACUCAAGUCAGUUGUCGGCACAACGGACAUCUCGAGUGUUCAGCCCCUCACCUUUCUGUCAGACGCGACGCCGCUGCGCUCGUCCCCUCCGUCUGCCUCCUUCGUGUGGUUACGGACGGGGGCCAUGUUGU